UCCUACGGGGGGCAGCAGUAGGGAAUUUUCGUCAAUGGGCGCAAGCCUGAACGAGCAAUGCCGCGUGAACGAGGAAGGUCUUCGGAUCGUAAAGUUCUGUUGAAGGGGAAAAAGAGCGGAGAGAGGAAAUGGUCUCCGAUUGAUAUUACCCUUCGAGGAAGUCACGGCUAACUACGUGCCAGCAGCCGCGGUAAUACGUAGGUGGCGAGCGUUAUCCGGAAUGAUUGGGCGUAAAGGGUGCGUAGGCGGCCUACUAAGUCUGGAGUGAAAGGUACCGGCUCAACCGGUACAGGCUCUGGAAACUG
rnacentral:rRNA from 1 species